rnacentral:rRNA from 1 species
UUAAGACAGCAGGACGGUGUUCAUGGAAGUAAAAAUCCACUAAGAAGUGUGUAACAACUCACCUUUCGAAUAAACAAGACCCAAAAAUGGAUGGCACUUAAGCAUUUGCCCUACACUCGACCGUCGAGGAAAGUUCCAUGCCCCGAUGAGUAGGAGGCCAUCGGUGCAGAUAUAGGUUGUAUUACCAAAUAUUCAAAUGAGAACUUUGAAGGCCAAAGAGGGGAAAGGUUCCAUGUGAAUAGCACUUGCAGAUGGGUUAGUCGAUCCUUAGGGUCGGAAAAACCCUGACAGAUAGAGCAUUUUGCGUACUCUAAAAGAGAAUCGGGUUAAAAUUCCUGGACCGAGAAGUGGUGGUCAACAGUAACAUUAGAAAGUCCAGAGACGUCGGUAGAAGCCUCGAGAAGAGUUAUCUUUUCUGUUAAACAGCCUACCCACCCUGGAAUCGGCUCAGCUAGAGGUAGGAUCCAGCGGCUGGAAGAGCACCGUAUAUCGCGUGGUGUCCGGUGCACUUCUGGAAGCCCUAGAAAAUCCAAAUGACCGAAUGUCGUCCACACCUGUUCGCUAUCAUAGCCUCAUCAAGUAUCCAAGGGGAACAACCUCUGGUCGAUGGAACAAUGUAGGCAAGAAAAGUCUGCAAAAUGGCUCCGUAACUUCUGGAAAAUGAUUGACACUGAGGGCUGGGCAUGGGGGUCCCAGUCCUGAACCCGUCGGCUGUCAGUGGACUACUCGAGAUGCUCCUGCAGUAAGAGCGGGUCGCUGCAUGCCAGUUUGGGUACGGAUUAGGAACGGUUCCUUCAGGGGCCUUCCCCGCGCGUUGAACAGCCAGCUCAAAACUGGUAUGGACAAGGGUAAUCUGACUGUUUAAUUAAAACAAAGCAUUGGGAUGGUCCCAAUGGAUGUUCAAGCAUUGUCAUUUCCGCCCAGUGCUCUGAAUGUCAAAGUGAAGAAAUUCAAGAAAGUGCGGGUAAACGGCAGGAGUAAUAUGAGUCUCUUAAGGUAGCCAAAUGCCUCGUUAUCUAAUUAGUGACGCGCAUGAAUGGAUUAACGAUAUUACCGCUAUCCCUAUCUACUAUCUAGCGAAACCACAACCAAGGGAAUGGGCUUGGCAGAAUUAGCUAGGAAAGAAGACCCUCUUAAGCUUGAGUCUACUCUGAAAGGCGAAAGCGAAAUACCAAUACUUUUAACAUUAUUUUACUUAUUUCAUGAAUCAAAAGUGGAGCACUACCCCUCUUUUUGGACCCAAGGCUCGCUCUGCGGGCUGAUCCGGGUGGAAGACAUUGUUAGGUAAGGAGUUUGGCUGGGGCGGCAUAUCUGUUAAAAGAUAACGCAGGUGUCCUAAGAUGAGCUCAAAGAGAAUGGAAAUAUCGUGUGGAACAGAAGCGUAAAAGCUCAUUUGAUUAUGAGUUCCAGUACAAAUACGAACCAUGAAAGCGUGGCUUAACGAUCCUGUAGACCUUCAAAAUUCCAAGCUAAAGGUGUCAGAAAAGUGUUACCACAGGGAUAACUGGCCUGUUGCAGCCAAGCGUUCAUAGUGAAAUUGUUUUUUCAUUCUUCGAUGUCGGCUCUUCCUAUCAUUGUGAAGCAGAAUUCACCAAGUGUUGGACUAUUUACCCACCAAUAGGGAAUGUGAGCUGGGUUUAGAUCAUCGUGAUAUAGGUUAGUUUUACCCUACUUAUGACAGUGUCGCAAUAAUAAUUCAACCUAGUAUGAUAGAAAACGUUGAUUCACAUAAUUUGUCAUCGCGCUUGGUUGAAAAGCCAGUGGCACAAAACUACCGUGUGCUGGAUUAUGACUGAACGCCUCUAAGUCAGAAUCCGGGCUAGAAGAGAUGCAUGCGCCUGCUAUCUUCUUGCCGACCCACAGUAGAGGCCUUGUCCCCCAAGGACACGUGUCGUUUGCUAAGCCACCACGGUGGAAGAGCCACGGUAGCCACCUUGAAGUAUAAUUUCCAUCGACCGGUGGGUAGAAUACUCUGCAGACGACUUAAAUAUGCGACAGGGUAUUAUAAGUUGAAGAGUGGCCUUGCUGCCACGAUCCACUUAGAUUCAUCCCUUUGUCGCUCUGGUUCAU